ensembl:lncRNA
AUUGUCGACAUUGAACAACUCUUCAUCUCAUGACGUCAAGCUAAAAUACAGCCAGAAGGAGCUACAGAUGUUCAUCGCUGGCAAAAGAACUAAAAGAGUUCCAGAAGUCAGAUUUCCUGUGGUCAUUCUUCCAGCUGAACAACAGUGUCCUCCCUGGCAAGGCCCACCUGGAGGAUUCCAGCCAUAUCCACCACCUCAGCCUAACCUUGUGCCUUAUCCUGGUGAACUACCUCCUCCACCUGCAGGACUUUACCCUAAUCUGUAUAACCCUACAGUGCUGCCCUAUCCAGGAGCUGCUGCAGGGGUCUAUCCAAAUCCACAUGCCAUCCAGCCAGGUUUCCUUCUGCACCAGUUUAUGAUCUAAAGCACUAAAGAUUCCUCUCCAAAAGAGCCUUAUUAGUGUUUUUUACCAGCGAAACUUGUGCUGUGUCAAUGAAAACUUCAUGGAUUUAUCUGCAUGAUUUCACCUCAGGUGCCCAUUACAUUGUGCCUUGUAAACUCUGCACUCUCUUGAUGAUAUUACUGCAGUUUUAUUGAUACUGUGUUCUUUUCAGAACAUAUUGCAGUUUAUCUGUUUGUGCUUUUAACCUCCAGCCAUAAUGAAAUAGUCUAUCGACUGUAACCACUGUUUGUAUGAUAUGCUUUACCAAAGACUGUAACAAGUCUGAACAAAUAUCUAUGAAAAUAAAAGAGGAUUGCUCCACUGUGCUACAGUAAUGGAUUAAGAUUCUGACAAAUAAUCCCUAGAGAAACUACUACAUCACAAAUCACCAAACACCAUUUACCUUAACCCCUUGCUUAAGUCUUUGUCUCACAAAUUAAGUCCACGUUUUAAACUAAACUAAACUUGAAACUCUCAGACAUCUUAAUAUCAAAACGCCUUGCAUUUUUACUAGGUGGGGAUGUGUCUGUUUCGCUUAAGAUAAAUGUACAUGAGAAUUUGAACAAUUAUCUCCACCUUCAACUCCACUGCACGCAAAGUUACUGUUCUCCAACAAACCCCUAGAGAGCAGCAGAAACCAGCGUAACUCAUGGUUCACAAACCCGGGUGUACUUGACUGAAGGAAGACAGCGGGAUCGAUUGUGCAGCCGCUAGGUGGCGCAGAAGUCUUCAGAACUGAAGCAGUACUGUAGAUCUAGAGCAGAUAAAUGAUACUGGGUGAGUUGGCCUAAUAUCUGAGUGUGUGUGUGUGUGUAUAUAUAUAUAUAUAUAUAUAUAUAUAUAUAUAUAUAUAUAUAUAUAUAUAUAUAUAUACUAAAUAUAUAUAUAUAUAUAUAUAUAUAUAUAUAUAUAUAUAUAUAUAUAUAUAUAUAUAUAUAUAUAUACUAAAAAAGAGGGUUCCUACAAAAAUACUCAGUUCAAGUUAGAUAUGUUAUGUUAUGAAAACUGGUGCAAUUGGCAUCAUAUUACCAUCUUUAUCAAAAUGUAACAAGGCAGCAUGACGUGAGCAACAUUGAUCUCUUUAUCUGCAUCUAAACCAUUCAUAAUUUGACUAAAAUCAGUUGUGUUGUUUAAGUCCUAAUAUGUUUGGGGGUUAUAAUAAAAAGCUAUAUCUAAGCUAUAUUUUGUUCCUGUUGUGCAUACCCACUGAGUAACCAGAGCCCAAAUUCAAUUUAUUUAACAAUCUAUAACAUGUUACUCUAUAAACAAACUGUUCAAAUAUUAAUGUGGGGCUCUACCUAACCGUGUGAAAAUGUCUAUGCUUCCACGUAUUCUUUUAAUACACUGCUCAGCUGUUCUCUGUUAUUUGUCUCCUGAGUCCCGGUCAAAGAACUGCACAAAAAGCGGAAGAAGGGGGACGGCUAGCAGCCGCGCGCAUGCGCACUAACUUGUUUUUCACAAGAGCAGCGCUUAAAGUGAGCCGGUGGCGAAAUCUCACCGUCUUUCAUUGCAGACCAUCAAGCCUUCACCGAGAACCGAUAACAGCAUCUGCUGCUGUUAUUCAGCUCUCGCAUCUCAAUGACACUAUCCAGUGUUGACUCUCGCUUUUUUUCCUAAGAGAUUAUUUUCGUAGACUUUGCCUUUUGGUUUUGUUUUGUCUACAGAACUUUGUA